CUUCUCUGUAAAAACUUGUGGAUAAGAGAACAAGAAUAUCAAAUGAAUUGAUCCUAUCUUAAUGGCUAAAAUCAACUUAUGCGGGUUUUAUAAAAGUUAAAAGAGAUAGGUUCUGUGGAAAUUAAGUUUGUUUUGAUGCGUAUUUUAUAUGAUGUUGCCAUCGGUAGACAUUCUGCACACCGAAUGGUAUCUCGGGUACACACUAAACAUGUCUCCAAAUAAUAUCUAUUAACUUUUUCUUUUUUGAAUUUUGUAAUUCA
rnacentral:sRNA from 1 species